AGUGAACGCUGGCGGCAGGCCUAACACAUGCAAGUCGAACGGCAGCACAAGAGAGCUUGCUCUCUGGGUGGCGAGUGGCGGACGGGUGAGGAAUGCAUCGGAAUCUGCCCAUUUGUGGGGGAUAACCUCGGGAAACCGGGACUAAUACCGCAUACGACCUACGGGUGAAAGCAGGGGAUCUUCGGACCUUGCGCAGAUGGAUGAGCCGAUGCCGGAUUAGCUAGUUGGAGGGGUAAAGGCCCACCAAGGCGACGAUCCGUAGCUGGUCUGAGAGGAUGAUCAGCCACACUGGGACUGAGACACGGCCCAGACUCCUACGGGAGGCAGCAGUGGGGAAUAUUGGACAAUGGGCGCAAGCCUGAUCCAGCCAUGCCGCGUGUGUGAAGAAGGCCUUCGGGUUGUAGAGCACUUUUGUUGGGAAAGAAAAGCAGCCGGUUAAUACCCGGUUGUCAUGACGGUACCCAAAGAAUAAGCACCGGCUAACUUCGUG
rnacentral:rRNA from 1 species